UACGUAGGGACCAAGCGUCGUUCGGAUUUACUGGGCGUAAAGGGCGCGUAGGCGGCGCGACAAGUCACUUGUGAAAUCUCUGGGCUUAACUCAGAACGGCCAAGUGAAACUGUUGUGCUAGAGUGCAGAAGGGGCAAUCGGAAUUCUCGGUGUAGCGGUGAAAUGCGUAGAUAUCGAGAGGAACACCAGAGGUGAAGACGGGUUGCUGGGCUGACACUGACGCUGAGGCGCGAAAGCCAGGGGAGCAAACGGG
rnacentral:rRNA from 1 species